rnacentral:rRNA from 1 species
GGGCGUGCGGGUGCUAUACAUGCAAGUCGAGCGGACAGAUGGGAGCUUGCUCCCUGAUGUUAGCGGCGGACGGGUGAGUAACACGUGGGUAACCUGCCUGUAAGACUGGGAUAACUCCGGGAAACCGGGGCUAAUACCGGAUGGUUGUUUGAACCGCAUGGUUCAAACAUAAAAGGUGGCUUCGGCUACCACUUACAGAUGGACCCGCGGCGCAUUAGCUAGUUGGUGAGGUAACGGCUCACCAAGGCAACGAUGCGUAGCCGACCUGAGAGGGUGAUCGGCCACACUGGGACUGAGACACGGCCCAGACUCCUACGGGAGGCAGCAGUAGGGAAUCUUCCGCAAUGGACGAAAGUCUGACGGAGCAACGCCGCGUGAGUGAUGAAGGUUUUCGGAUCGUAAAGCUCUGUUGUUAGGGAAGAACAAGUACCGUUCGAAUAGGGCGGUACCUUGACGGUACCUAACCAGAAAGCCACGGCUAACUACGUGCCAGCAGCCGCGGUAAUACGUAGGUGGCAAGCGUUGUCCGGAAUUAUUGGGCGUAAAGGGCUCGCAGGCGGUUUCUUAAGUCUGAUGUGAAAGCCCCCGGCUCAACCGGGGAGGGUCAUUGGAAACUGGGGAACUUGAGUGCAGAAGAGGAGAGUGGAAUUCCACGUGUAGCGGUGAAAUGCGUAGAGAUGUGGAGGAACACCAGUGGCGAAGGCGACUCUCUGGUCUGUAACUGACGCUGAGGAGCGAAAGCGGCACCC